CCUACGGGAGGCAGCAGUGAGGAAUAUUGGACAAUGGGCGCAAGCCUGAUCCAGCCAUGCCGCGUGCAGGAAGAAGCAUCUAUGGUGUGUAAACUGCUUUUGUACAGGAAGAAACACUCCCUCGUGAGGGAGCUUGACGGUACUGUAAGAAUAAGGACCGGCUAACUCCGUGCCAGCAGCCGCGGUAAUACGGAGGGUCCGAGCGUUAUCCGGAAUCAUUGGGUUUAAAGGGUCCGUAGGCGGUUUAAUAAGUCAGUGGUGAAAUCUGGUCGCUCAACGAUCAAACGGCCAUUGAUACUGUUAGACUUGAAUUAUAAGGAAGUAACUAGAAUAUGUAGUGUAGCGGUGAAAUGCUUAGAUAUUACAUGGAAUACCAAUUGCGAAGGCAGGUUACUACUUAUGGAUUGACGCUGAUGGACGAAAGCGUGGGGAGCGAACAGGAUUAGAUACCCUGGUAGUCCACGCCGUAAACGAUGGAUACUAGCUGUUCGGAGCAAUUAUGAGUGGNGUAGAGAAGAGAGUAAGUAGUACCACCGUAGGGAGGUACGGUUCGUCGAAGAAGUUAGUAAACGUUAACGAAAGGAAAGUUAGACGGCGNGAGACGNGCGACGACGACGACGAGGGAGGAGG
rnacentral:rRNA from 1 species